GUGUCAAAUUAAAUAAAACACAUUAAUGAAAGAGCACAAUGACGUCGUUUGAUUCAUAUAGCUGACCCCACAUAGUGGGACAAAGUUUUGUUGUUGUUGUUGUUGUUGUUG